rnacentral:miRNA from 1 species
CAGUGGUUACCCUAUGGUAU